UGUUUUUAUUUUUCCUAUGGGUCUGUAAUGAAGAAAGAUGUUGAUCCACCUUGGAUGAAGACUUGCAGUCCUGAUUGUCUUCUAUGCCUUUACUUAUUCUUAAGAUGUUGAUAAAUCUUUUCUAGAUGGUGAUUAGAUGUUUUCUUGUCUAUCUCUGAAUGGCACAGCUGCUCAGCACCUCAUCACAUGUAAGGUGAAUAUAAUCAGUGUUGAAAAUUGAGAGAAAGACAGAGGAGAAGUUACAGUUUUCAGGUAUGAUAAAUUUUGCUAAGAACAGCAUCAUGAAAAACCCCAGAAGAACAAAGUGGCCUGGGAGAAAACCAGAAGGUGUGGAGACUAUUAUUGCUCAUGCUUGUGUCUGUAGACUCCCAGGAGUCCAGCUGAUUCAGG
rnacentral:lncRNA from 1 species